GAUGUUGGCUUAGAAGCAGCCAUACAUUUAAAGAGUGCGUAAUAGCUCACUGGUCAAGUGGUAGAGCGCCGAAAAUGAACGGGGCUAAAAUCUAAUACCGAAGCUGUGGACUAAUUAAAUUAGUGGUAGAGGAGCAUUGUGUAAGGGAUGAAGCUAAGCUGGAAGGCGAAGUGGACUUUACAGAAGAGAGAAUGCUGGCAUGAGUAGCGAAAAGGAGGGUGAGAAUCCCUCCCGUCGAAAGCCUAAGGAUUCCUGAGGAAGGCUCGUCCUCUCAGGGUAAGUCGGGACCUAAGCCCAGGCUGAAAAGCGUAAGCGAUGGACAACAGGUUGAGAUUCCUGUACUAUCUUUGAAUGUUUGAGAGAAGUACUGACGCAGGAGGAUAUGUUGAGCGUGUGAAUGGUAGAGCACGUCUAAGCAAGUAGGUAGAGAAUAGAGGCAAAUCCCUAUUCUUAAUAUCGAGAUGUGAUGGGGAGCGAAAAAUAAGUAGUGAAGCAACAGAUUCCAAACUGCCAAGAAAAGGUACUAUUGAGUGAGAAGAUACCCGUACCAAAACCGACACAGGUAGGCAAGGAGAGAAUCCUAAGACGCGCGGAAGAACCUUUGUUAAGGAACUCGGCAAAAUGACCCCGUAACUUCGGGAGAAGGGGUACCAUUAGAUGUGAGAUACUUGCGUAUGGAGCAUAGAGUGGUCGCAGAGAAUAGGCCCAAGCAACUGUUUACCAAAAACACAAGUCUCUGCUAAAUCGAAAGAUGAAGUAUAGGGGCUGACACCUGCCCGGUGCUGGAAGGUUAAGGGGAAAUGUUAGAGCAAUCGAAGCAUAGAACUUAAGCCCCAGUAAACGGCGGCCGUAACUAUAACGGUCCUAAGGUAGCGAAAUUCCUUGUCGGGUAAGUUCCGACCCGCACGAAAGGUGUAAUGAUUUGGGCACUGUCUCAACAAAGGAUCCGGUGAAAUUGUAGUAGUCGUGAAGAUGCGACUUACCCACGAUAGGACGGAAAGACCCCGUGGAGCUUUACUGUAGGCUGGCAUUGGAAUUUGGUAUUAAAUGUACAGGAUAGGUGGGAGACAAAGAAGCGAGAGCGCCAGUUUUCGUGGAGUCAAUGUUGGGAUACCACUCUUUUGAUACUAAAUUUCUAACUUGAUACUCUGAAGCGAGUAUAAGGACACUGUCAGUUGGGCAGUUUGACUGGGGCGGUCGCCUCCUAAAGAGUAACGGAGGCGUUCAAAGGUUCCCUCAGAAUGGAAGGAAAUCAUUCAAAGAGUGCAAAGGCAAAAGGGAGCUUAACUGCGACACCAACAAGUGGAGCAGAUAGGAAACUAGGACUUAGUGAUCCGGUGGUACCGAGUGGAAGGGCCAUCGCUCAACGGAUAAAAGCUACCCCGGGGAUAACAGGCUUAUCUCCCCCAAGAGUUCACAUCGACGGGGAGGUUUGGCACCUCGAUGUCGGCUCGUCUCAUCCUGGGGCUGGAGUAGGUCCCAAGGGUUGGGCUGUUCGCCCAUUAAAGAGGCACGCGAGCUGGGUUCAGAACGUCGUGAGACAGUUCGGUCCCUAUCCAUCGUGGGCGAAGGAAAUUUGAGAGGAGCUGUCCUUAGUACGAGAGGACCGGGAUGGACAGACCGCUGGUGUAUCAGUUAUCAUGCCAAUGGUAAUGCUGAAUAGCUAAGUCUGGAAGGGAUAAGUGCUGAAGGCAUCUAAGCACGAAGCCCCCCUCAAGAUGAGAUUUCCUGUUGCAGAAAUGCAAGAGAGAUUCGAUACAGAAAAUGUCGUAGAUAGGUCAGAGGUGUAAAGGUGGCAACAUCAAAGCUAACUGAUACUAAUAAAUCGAAAGCUUGACCA
rnacentral:rRNA from 1 species